UCCGGCAGCUAGCUCUCUGCAACUCUCACAUGGUCGCCCACUGAAGCAAAGCAGGACUGAGCCUGGCCAGUACCUAGAUGGGAGGUCACAUGGGAAAGCUAGGUUGCUGCCAGAA
rnacentral:rRNA from 1 species